UAGGAAGUGGUGUAGUGGAAGCACAUAGAGUUUUGAUCUCUUAGGCGGGGGUUCAAAUCCCUUUUUUCUAA
rnacentral:tRNA from 1 species